UGCUAGAGAUUGUUAUAGUGAUAGCUAAGGAGUUAGGCAGUUACAAAAGCUAGAGAUAUAAAAUCUCAGAAAUUACCUUUUAAUCUCAGCGGGCUAAUUGUUUGUUGAGGAUCGCAAUCUGACUAGAUCAGCUGUGGUCAGUCAAGAAAGAGAUGGUCAGAAUUGGGGAAUUGGAGGAGCAAAUGAGGAAUUUGCAAGAAGUGUCAGAGGACUGUUGAGAAAGAGGUCUCAGUCCACACCUGUGCAAAUGCAGUCAAUUGUGGCACAAUUUGUGUCGGUGAAUCAACCUACUCUUGUGGAUAACAGAGGGUUGUU
rnacentral:misc_RNA from 1 species